AUUUUUAAAAUAAGGGAAAAUUAUCGGAUUCCAGCUUCUUAAAUGUGACUAUUUUAUUGUUUCUUCACUCCUGUGUGACAGUAUACUGAUUAUCUUUGA